ACGUAUCUAAGCACAAAGUAAUUAAUACUUUUCAUACUUUCCCAAUUUGAACAUUUUAUGUGUCAAUUUUCCCAAUUCUACGGACUCUGGACCCAGUUUGAAAAUGGUAGGAAAACCCCUGCGAAGACUCAAAUAUGAAAUCAUUUUCAAUUAGAGGUUAAAACAUUUAGUGAUGAAUUAAUUACUGGAAUUUAUGAGGACUACUGAGACAUGUUAAAAUGGUGUCACAUUUGUCUUCAGAUUCAAGAAACGGACUCUAUCUGGAAAAGGAAAACAAUAUCAAAGCUCCUCUGUGAGAAGUUGGCCAAGGAAAGCAUUCAGAAGAAAGUGGAGAUUCAUUGUUUUUACCAGAUCCAGCAGAUCACAGAAAGCAUCUAGUAGGGGAGUUUCCAGGAUUAAGCCAGCCAGUAGAUGAGACUAUUAUAUCAAAAAUACAUUUACUUGUACACGAGGGCACACAAAGCGUUGAUGAAACAAAAAGACAUUUCCGUCUGUUUGUAAAGGAUACUAUUUCACCAGGGAACACCAUCUCAGAAUUUAACAGAUGCUUUUACCCCGCCAAUAAGGAUGUAAGAAAUCACAUUUACAGGGCACCGAGAUUUUGCCAGGUAGUUUAGAACUGUGUGCAUUGGUUUUGGGAGAAUUUGGGCUGUUUAGGCUAAAAUCCAUUAUGAUUGGACAGAAUAUGAACACACACAUCCAAUACUUCAAAGAUAUUAUGUUUGUGGAGGCAGAUAUUUUGAUUGCAUCCACUGUUUAGAAUACAUCCUUAAGGGAAGCAGACUGCCGCCUUUACCCAAUGAUAUAAUGAUUAAUCAUAACUAUAUCUGUUUUGUACCAAAUAGAAAGAGCAUUGAUUCAGGUCAUUUUCAAAUCCACUGGCAUACAUUGUACUAUACAUGCAACCUUUUCAAACUUUACAUUUAAGAUUUUAUAAAGGAAAUAUCUUAAUGUUUCACAUGUUUACCUUUCACUGUGCUAUGUAAUUCAUUAUACCUGCCAUUAUGUCAGUCUUCCUGAACAUAAUUUGUUUUCUGCAAUUUCAUUGGCCAAGAGGCUUAAUCCUGGGUUAUCAGAUUGAGCAUUUAUUAGCUCUUCUGAGCCAAAGGCUCAAAGAGCUAAUGCUAUGGCCAUUUGUGCGGUGUGCGUAAACUUUUUAGAAAAAGGGCUAUAACUCAAGAACCCCUUGGCCAAUUUCUUUCAAAUUUGUUAAAGGGUAUCAUUGGCCCAAGGGCUUUCAUACAUACUAAAUAAAGGGAUGUGACCCUUUAACAAGGGGAGAUAAUCAGGAAAAUACAAACAAAAGUAGUGGUUGCUAAAAAAUCUUCUUCUCAAGAACCACAGGGCAGAUUAUCACCAAACUUACACAUAAGGAUGAGGAUAUGUUGUAGAUUAAAAAUUGUUCAAGGCAUUACCCUGGGGCAAAGGGCAUGGUCUCAAGGUCACUUCAAAGUUGACCUAAAUUUAAAUUUUUUUUAAAUUCCUUAAAUCUUAGAUAUUUUAGUCAUUAUAAGGACUAGGAUCAUCAAAUUUUGACAGUUGAUGCAUCUUAGGACCUUGUGUCAAGUUGUCUCAAAAGUAGGUCACGGUGACCUACUUUUUGAAUUUUACAGGUAUUUAUUUUAAAAUUAAUUUUGAUGCAUAUCUUGGACACUUUGAAGCCUAUGAUCAUCAAAACUUGUCAGUUGGUGGAUCAUGGGACCUUGAAAUUCGUCAACUGAAAAAUAGGUCACCGUGACCUACUUUCUGAAUUUGAUGGCUUAUCAUUUAUAGAUAUAUUUUAAGUUGUUAUUUCAAAUACCGAGAGGUUUAGAAUCAUCAAAUCUUGUAAGUUGAUGCAUCUUGAGGCCUUGAAACAUAUUUAUUAAAAAAGUAGGUCACAGUGACCUACUUUUUGAAUUUUGCAGAUAUUCAAAUUUCACAUUUUCAAUUUUAGAUGCAUAUUUUGGGCACUGUAAAACCUAGGAUCAUCAAACUUUGUCAGUUGAUGCGUCUUCAGUCUUCGGUUUGUGUCGACCAAAAAGUAGGUCACCGUGACCUACUUUUGGUAUUUGACAGCUAAAUUACUAUAUUUCACACACUAUUUGACCUACAAUCAUCAAACUUUGUCAGUUGAUGCAUCUUGAGUCUUCGGAGUGUAUCGACCAAAAAGUAGGUCACUGUGACCUACUUUUGGCAUUUGACAGUUAUAUUUAUAUAUUUCAGUCACUAAUUGACCUACAAUCAUCAAACUUUGACAGUUGAUGCAUCUUGAGUCAAUGGAGUGUGUCGACCAAAAAGUAGGUCACCUUGACCUACUUUUGGAAUUUGACGGCUAUAUUUAUAUAUUUCAAAUACUAUUUGACCUACAGUCAUCAAACUUUGUCAGUUGAUGGGUCUUGCAUGUUCGAAGGGUUUCGACCAAAAAGUAGGUCACCUUGACCUACUUUUGGAAUUGGACACCUAUAUUUAUACAUUUCAGAUACUAUUUGACCUACAGUCAUCAAACUUUGUCAGUUGAUGCGUCUUGCAUGUUCAAAGGGUGUUGACCAAAAAGUAGGUCACCUUGACCUACUUUUGGAAUUGGACGGCUAUAUUUAUAUAUUUCAGAUACUAUUUGACCUACAGUCAUCAAACUUUGUCAGUUGAUGGGUCUUGCAUGUUCGGAGUUCGCUGACCAGAAAGUAGGUCACCAUGACCUACGAUUGGAAUUUGACAGCUAUAUUUCAAUAUUCAGAUACUAAUUGGCUUAAAAUCAUCAAACUUUGUCAGUUGAUAUUUCUUGGGUUCUCAAAAUGUGUAAACCAAAAAGUAGGUCACAUUGACCUACUUUUUUUGAAUUCUUAGGAUUUAACUAAAGAUUUAGAAUACUAAGAGGCUAAGAAUAGAAAUGGUGGGGUUGUACAAUUUAUCAGAAGAGCGAUUCUAGGCCCUUGGGCCUCUUGUAUUUAGUAUCCCAUUGAUUUUGUCAGCCCUAUAUAAGGAGCUGACUCAGAUUUACUCACUCUGCUAGGUUAAAGAACUCUAAGGUUUGUACUUUUCACAUGAAUUUCGUGUUCGCCUCUUAUCUUUUACAUAGAGUAGGAAAUGAACAUAACAUUGAGUUAGGGAACUAUUUAGAUUUUACAUUAUAUGUAAAUACCUUAGCAGAGUCAAUUUACUUGGUUCAGGGUAGUAUCAGAUAUUACUUUCUCAGAGUUUAAGUGUUUAGGCUAUCUCAAUGUUUCUAUAGUUAGCCUUGUCCUAUGUUACUUUUAGAUGUAUGGAAGCCUUUUAGUGUUAUAACACUAUAUUUAUGCCCCCAUUCAAAGAAGAGGGGCAUAUUGGUUUGCACCUGUUGGUCGGUCGGUAGACCACAUGUUGUCCGCUUAAUAUCUUAAGAACCAUUCACUUGAUCGUAAUAUAUUUCAUAUGUGGGUUGGUUAUGAAAAGAAGAGGACCCCAAUUGUUUUUCAGGUCGAAAUGUCAAGGGUCAAUCUACUCUGGACAUAGGAAGACACUGCCUGCUCAAUAUCUUGAGAACCCUUUGCUUGACAGACAUCAAACUUGGUACACUGGUACAUCUCAAGGAGUAGAUUUGAGGUCAUAUGGUCAAAGGUCAAGGGGUAAACUGGACAUAGUAAUAUAUUGUCUCUUAUGUUUUAAGAAUUAUUUGCUUGAUUGACACCAAACCUGGUACAGCAUAAGGAGUAGAUGACCCCUAUUGAUUUUUAGGUCACUUGGUCAAUCCACUCCUGACAUAGGAAGAUAUUGUUUGCUCAAUAUUUCGAAUUGAUGAUACUACUAUCAAUCAAAUUAUGCAUAUGUAUAACCCUUUUCAAUUUUGCACCAUGGGGGCUUAUAUGUAAUUGUUUUACAAACACCUCAUGUUUUAUAGUUUGUGAAAGCUUGUUAGGGUCAUAACUUUAGAUUUUCUUAUUAUGGUACUUGCCCGUCAGAGACUGGACAUAUUAUGGUAUGGUGUUGUCUGUCCGGACCUUGUAAGAUGGGAUACAGACUGAACCGUAAGCUCUAGAAUCUUACAACUUGGUACAUUUGAUCACCAUAAAAGGAAGAUGCUUAUUGUUUUUUAAGGUCAAGGUUGUAGGUUCACUUAAUGGGAAAACCUUGUUCGAGAAAAUUACAGAUUCUUGAACUGAGUAUUUUGAGGAAACAUUACAUAGAAAGUACAUGAUUUGUCAAAUUUCUCCCAAUAUUCAACUGAGAACCUUAUUCUGCAGAGUAUUUGUAUGGGUAUGGAAAAUGUGUAUGUGGCUAUGAUUUUGAUUUUUGUUUAAAUUUUUGUUGUUGAAAAUUACAGGUUUAACCGAGUCAGUUUUUGAGGAAAUAUACAUGUAUUAAAUAAAUGACGGUUUGACCUUUUAACUCCUCUCACAGUUUUGAAGCUAGGGUCUUUGUAAAUAACUUCUUUGGUGUUUUAGAAUAUUUACAGAUUGUUGAUCAUGGUCAAUUUUGGGGAAAUAUUUUCCGCAGAGCUCUAGUUGUCUAUCUACCGGCCUCCUGUCACUUUUAAGUUUAGGAGCUUUUAUUCAUGGAAAGAAAGUAUGUGACAACCUGAUGAUGGCUGAUACUAUUUAAAGCCUUUUUAUACGCCCGUCUUAAGAUGGGACGUAUUAUGGUAUGGCGUUCAUGUCCGUCCGUCUGUUAGCUUUUUCGUGUCCGACCCGUAACUUAAAUACUACAAGGCCUAGAAUCAUCAAACUUUGUCUGUAGAUACAUCUUGGGUAGAAGGUGUGUCGCACAUUAAAACCAGGUCACUGUGACUUUUCAUUAAGAAGAUAUCCGUCUGUCCGUCCGUCUGUUAGCUUUUUCGUGUCCGACCCGUAACUUAAAUACUACAAGGCCUAGAAUCAUCAAACUUUGUCUGUAGAUACAUCUUGGGUAGAAGGUGUGUCGCACAUUAAAACCAGGUCACUGUGACUUUUCAUUAGGAAGAUAUGGCCAUAUAUGGCAAAAACUUGUCCGACUCAUAACUUGAAAACUAUUAGACCUAGAAUCACCAAAAUUGGUCAACUAAUGCAUCUUAGGUAGAAGGUGUGUCGCAUCCUACUUUAAGGUCACUGUGACAUUUAAUUAAGGUGAUAUAAAAAAUGUUUUAAUGGGUACAAUCUAUACUGUUAACAAUAUGUGACGGGCAUAUCAUGUGCCGUGGCCGUGCACUUUAUUCUAGAAAUGGCAUCAGAAAAACACCCUAUGUAACCUUUUCUGCUUGUACUCAUUUAUUUUUAUUGGAAAACUUAUUACUUGUUAUCAGCUACUCUAAAACAAUAUUGACUUGUGCUAUAAUAAAUUUGUAAACUUUA